rnacentral:rRNA from 1 species
UACAGAGGGGGCAAGCGUUGUUCGGAAUUACUGGGCGUAAAGGGCGCGUAGGCGGCCCGCUAAGUCGAACGUGAAAUCCCCGAGCUCAACUCGGGAACUGCGUCCGAGACUGGCGGGCUUGAAUCCGGGAGAGGGAUGCGGAAUUCCAGGUGUAGCGGUGAAAUGCGUAGAUAUCUGGAGGAACACCGGUGGCGAAGGCGGCAUCCUGGACCGGUAUUGACGCUGAGGCGCGAAAGCUAGGGGAGCAAACGGG